AGCGAACGCUGGCGGCAGGCUUAACACAUGCAAGUCGAGCGGACCUUUCGGGGUCAGCGGCGGACGGGUGAGUAACGCGUGGGAACGUGCCUUCCGGUUCGGAAUAACCCUGGGAAACUAGGGCUAAUACCGGAUACGCCCUUAUGGGGAAAGGUUUACUGCCGGAAGAUCGGCCCGCGUCUGAUUAGCUAGUUGGUGGGGUAACGGCCUACCAAGGCGACGAUCAGUAGCUGGUCUGAGAGGAUGAUCAGCCACACUGGGACUGAGACACGGCCCAGACUCCUACGGGAGGCAGCAGUGGGGAAUAUUGGACAAUGGGCGCAAGCCUGAUCCAGCCAUGCCGCGUGAGUGAUGAAGGCCUUAGGGUUGUAAAGCUCUUUUAUCCGGGACGAUAAUGACGGUACCGGAUGAAUAAGCCCCGGCUAACUUCGUG
rnacentral:rRNA from 1 species